AGUUGGGCCUGAUCCAGGAGCAUAUGGAUUUAACCCAAUUAGUAAUGAGCCUGUUGGUCAAAGUGGAGGUGCUAAUAGGAACAACAGAAGGUCAGAAUCUGUAAAUAGACCACAGAAGCACGAAAAUGGUUUCGGUAAAGAAAUGGAAAGUGAUACCACUAUUAUUG